GACGGCUACUGGGCUAAACGGCUGUCAGUCAAGGCGUAAAACGGAAACGGCCUGUGGGGGAGGGGGAGGGCGUGAAUGAGCGCGGUCACGUGGUAGCAUUUGAGCCAAUGAGCGAGGCCUUGUCCAGCCCGUGGGCCGCCAUCUUGAGAGUGGGUACGUGGCGGGUCAGGUGCACAGCAGUGUGCUUGCGGGAGGCUGCCUCCAUAUUGCAAGCGGGCAAUGGAAGCCGUUGGACCCCACCGUGAGGGCAAAGCGAGGUGCGUCGCCAUCUUAGAACCGGGCAGGAAACCCCUAAUUGCCCCAGCUUCCUUGCGGUCACGUGGCCAGAACUUCGACUUUAAGCCGAGUUUUUCCCGGACUAGAUAGCGGCGGUACGGGGGCCACGUGCUUCGCAGACUCAGUCGCGACUUGAUUACGAAUCUUUCCGUCUUUUGUCUGGUCCACAUCAGCCAAGUUCCACCACUGUUGCAGAAAUGGGGAAACUGAGGAAACGGACCGCAGUGUGGCCGGCUCUGCCUGUAGUUGGGGAAACCGAGGCUAUAAGGUUUCCAGUUGCAUGCCCCACAAAUAGACCCGGGAGCAGCAAAAUCCACAGGAGGAACAGAACCCCGCCCUCCACCUCCACGUACCUCCACCCCAGGAGAACACUCAAAGCCGAUAGCCCAGGAGCCAGGACUCCUGUCCUAAGGGACCGGGACGGCUUCUCCAGAGCCCAGUGCAGGCUGCAAACAGAUCCUGGCGCCUUUGGUAAGGCGCCCAAAGACGCAAACUAUAAGGAUUUUUUUGUCGGCAUGCUUAUCUGCUAAAAAAGCCCAGGCAAAGGGAAAAGUUUCUCCUCCCCCUGCAUGGGAGGGGAGCCCUGCACGCGGCCUCCUUUUCUGUGGUCCUGGGCGCAGGGGUGGAAGGGGCCUGCCAACCACGCUGGUUUCUUGCAGGCCUGGCCUGGGGCCCAACAGCCUUGGAGCCCCAACGCGGGCCUGGUGCCAGAGGAUUCCAGUCUGGAUUAGGGACGGCUGCCGAUUUCCACGGAGGCCACGCCGGGAGUGAGGUCUUUUCAGGCCCAGCCAGCCGACAGAGCAGCUAGCUUGAAGGCUCAGAAUCACUAAUCAGGACGGUCCUGCGGAUUUAGAAAAAGCCCCACAACAAGGGGUAGGAUUUGAGCCCUCUGGGACUCCAUCAUGGCCUGCCUGGACCAUCAGGACCAAGAUGGCUGAACAGGCCAAAUUGUUUCCACCACAAGCCUGAUGACCUGCAGACUGACCCCUGGAAUCCAGGUGACGGUAGAAGGAGAGGACUGACUCCUGUAUUUAUUCUCCCACCACUCAAGCUCCCUGGCGCGUCGUCCACAGUUAUACAUACAAACGACAAAAAUUUCUCCAGCCCCAAAAAUACUCUUGGAUGCCAGACAUGGUGGCUCUCUGGGCCCAUUUAAAAAAACAAAACAGCUUUUGGACACCAGACAAGACGGUGCACACCAUUAAUUUCAGCGCUCUGGAGGCAGAGACAGGUGGACCUCUGUGAGUUCACGGCCAGCCUGGUCUACAGAAUGAGCCCAGGACAGUCAGGGCUACACAGAGAAACUCUGUCUUGAAAAACAAAAAUAAACAAAAGCUUGUGGA